CCCCGCCUCGCGGAACGGGGGGCGGGGAGGAAGCGCGGGAAGCUGGGGUCCUGACGCGGAACUGCUGCUGUGUUGUAGCAGUCUGGCUGGUGGCAGGGAGGGCAGAGAACGGGAAUCAAACUGGGGCUCCGGGAAGGCGUUCACCGGGACCGGACUGGGUCCAGGCCCGCCACGGCCCCCUGCGGAAGCCAGGAGGUCGCGCUCGCAGCGUCGGCUCGGACCGCACCCCCUCCACUGUGACCCCCGAGCGGGCAGGCGGAGCCAGGACGCUACGCUUCGGCGGGCGCCCUCCGCAGGCAGCCUGGGCUCCGCGGCGCAGGCCGCAUCUUCCGCCUCUUGAGCCUGGAAGCUUCUGAGGACGGCUUCACCAAACCAAGACCCAUCUUGUUGUGUUGCCCUGGCUGGCCUCGGAAGAUUUCUCCUGCCUCAGCCUCCCUGAAUACCUUGAACUGCAGGGUCUGGCCAUGUAGUCCAGCAGGCUGGCCUCGAACUCACUAUGCAGCCCAGGCUGGCUCCAACUCCUGGUGAUCCUCCUCCUUCAGCCUCCCCAGUGCUGGGAUUACAGGGUCUCCGUUGACUUACCCGCGGGCCGGGACAAGUGGCGCCCAACGUGCGGCCAGAGAACGGGGGAUCCAGUGAAGGACGCUGCUCAGGGGCCCUAAGAUUAAGAUUGAGGAACAAAGAGCACACUCGACACAGGAGAGGCUUGCAAUUGACGUAGACCUGCCGUCUUUUCGCACCUCG
rnacentral:lncRNA from 1 species